rnacentral:rRNA from 1 species
AUUGAACGCUGGCGGCAGGCCUAACACAUGCAAGUCGAGCGGAUGACGGGAGCUUGCUCCUUGAUUCAGCGGCGGACGGGUGAGUAAUGCCUAGUAAUCUGCCUGGUAGCGGGGGACAACGUUUCGCAAGGAACGCUAAUACCGCAUACGUCCUGCGGGAGAAAGCAGGGGACCUUCGGGCCUCGCGCUAUCAGAUGAGCCUAGGUCGGAGUAGCUAGUAGGUGAGGUAAUGGCUCACCUAGGCGACGAUCCGUAACUGGUCUGAGAGGAUGAUAAGUCACACUGGAACUGAGACACGGUCCAGACUCCUACGGGAGGCAGCAGUGGGGAAUAUUGGACAAUGGGCGAAAGCCUGAUCCAGCCAUGCCGCGUGUGUGAAGAAGGUCUUCGGAUUGUAAAGCACUUUAAGUUGGGAGGAAGGGCAGUAAGCUAAUACCUUGCUGUUUUGACGUUACCGACAGAAUAAGCACCGGCUAACUCUGUGCCAGCAGCCGCAGUAACAC